ensembl:lncRNA
CUUGUGAGAACUUAUUUUUAGGGCUAUUGUUAUGAUUUCAGCCUUUGGGCUGAAGAUUCCCAGGUGGUAUGAGUUGAUCUAGUUGCAUGAUCUUCUCCGUGAUUGUGAAUGCUCCAUUAGCUGAUUAUUCUCUCUCCAGCCCACAUCCUUCUAAGCAUCUGGUGCUGGUGAAGCAAGAUUCUUCCAGGAGCUGAGCUUCAGAGACUUCCUGGCUAACAUGAGGAUUGUAAAAAAUCCAAAAUAGAUUGGAAGGGAAGGCUGCAUUCAUGUGAAACAUGGAAGAUCUGCUCCAAGAUCAGAGGCUUAAUGUGUGAUUUGCAUCCACUGUUAGCCUUACACAUCAGCUUCUCUAUGCCAGAAAAAUGUCUUGAUGCCCAAGCCUCCAAAGAGCCACCAGCCUUAUGAUAUCCAUAGUGUUCUAUAGCUGGUGAGAACAACCACUGUUUACAACUGUAGAAAAGGAAUACAUACUUAUUUUCAGACCUACCUCCGUUAAAUGAGCUCUGUGAAUACUUGUUAUUUCACCUCUGCCAUUUUCAUGAUGAAAAGAAUUAGCAAUUGCAAGGAACAUAUCUGGGAAUCAGAUAGACCUGCCGUGACAACGUGGUACUCAUUUGUUUCCAAUCCAGUGGCAAAUUAUUCUCUUUUUAAGAAGAGAGAAGGAGGAGGAGGAUCAUUUCUCUCAGAGGGAGAAGAAAAAAAAAAAAAAAAAAGAAGAAUUAAUAAAUAUUUCACAGAAGGUGAACCCAGAGGUCCUGAAGCAAAUCCUGAACAAAUUACAGGGAAGCAGAAACAGCUGGAGAGAGAAUACCAUUGCAGUAAGCACACUGCCUUGACCCAGCCUGCCAGCGCCCUUCAGCUCCCAGCUUUACUGUUUCUAAACACCUUAGCAAAAAAUAGGCAGAAUAUCUCUCAUUUAUUCAAGAAAAAAAGAAGGGGAUCCAUCCAAGUUCUUUUGUGAGACAAUCUGAAGAGGACCUUGGGGUUUCUAUGUUAGGCAACUCUGUGUGCUCUGAAAAGCCCUGCAAAGGCAGCUUGCAAAAAAAGAAGCGUAGGAGGGAGCUGGGAAGGCAGUGUGGCCUCAUAGGAAAUGAAGGCAAUAAUGCACAGCUCGUGAAUACGGGAACACCGCUGAUGUGGGAAAAGCACACAUUUCUUAUCAGCUACACCACUACUCACUACUGUACAAGGAUAAGUAUACGGAGACUUUGUCUUUGAUCCCCCUCCCCCUCCCCUUUUUAGCUUUGUUAUUUGUUAUUAUUAUUGAUAUUAUCUUAUUAAUUAUUAUUACUAUUUCAAAUGAAUCAUGUAGGCCAGAAAAGUCAGAUUGGCCACCAUUUUGGUGGGGGAAGGAGAGACAUUUUUCUGAGGGGUCUCCAAAGGGAUGUACCCAUGCAGGUGCUGUGCUGGCGAAAUAUCUCACCAUAACAUUUGAGUGGCUCAGAGCUGCACAUUACUCCUUUACUUUCUUCUCCAUGGCCAACCUCCAAGGUUUUUUAUCCAUCUUUUAUAUGUUGCCUAUGUAAUCUUUGGAAGGAUGUGCUACAUUUGCUCAUAUAAGAUCAGCAUGACUGAACACUGGCUUGGAUGGAGCUCAGAUCCUACCAAAACCUAAAUGUUAGGUAAUGACUUUUGCUGUAUAUAGAACAUAGAAUAUAGGUCAAAUGAAAGAAGAAGUGACAGAAAGAGGGGAAGGCUGCAAUAAUGGAAAUAUCUUUAAUGCCACAAGCUACUCAAUAACUGAAAUCCUGAACAGCAUGAGUUCUGGGUUUUUUGUUUUGUUUUGUUUUUAAAAACAGGUUUAAGUAUUCAUCUGUUAUUCUUGAGAACUUCAGGUCCAGAAUGGAUAGUUUUCUAGGAAAGAUGCACUACCUCGUCCAGAAACUGCUGGCUCACUGUAGGACUCUUCUGGCAACGUACGACCUGUAUUCUGGGGGAAGCUGGACUGUAUCUUCAGAAUAGUCUCUCAUGUUCUUCAGACCUAUGAGUCUGAAUACUUCAACUCCAUUUAUAAACAGUUAAUAAACUGUUAGUUUACUGGUUAGUAAACUUUUCAUAGGCUGUCAAUAAAAGGCUAAUCAGUCUGCAUAGUUAAGCUGCAAUCCUGUAACAGCUUCUAUUGAAUACUGUCUCUAAUGCUGCUUGUAAAUCCUUUGUAAAAGGAGACUUAAAGUGUUACAAUGACAAUAAUAAUCAGAAUGUGCAAUCGCUGCUCCCUGUGCUGCCAGCAAUGCUGAUAAUGAGCUAACAGAAGCACUGCUGAUUGCUGCCAUGAAGGCUGCAGGGAGCAAAACCCUAAAAGCUUUUAUUAGCAACACCGAGACACACUGGUGUUUCUUUCCAAACCAGAAUGAAUCACCUUUUCUGUUUCUGGAUGGGUCCAACCAGUAUUCUCAUUGCAUCCCAUUGCAUAAUAUGACACAAAAGUGAUACCUGUGCUAUUAGUUAGAUCAAAAUACUGAUUUCAGUUUUAUCCAAGCAGCUCUAUUUCAUUUUUGUCUUUGCCAAAUGGGAAAUACAGCUUUGAGAUUUCAGCUAGGGCAAUCAGGUAUGCUGUUGUCUUUUCUGAGUAGAUAAAAUGUAUUGGAAGGCUUGAAUAUGGAUUACACUGUUAAAUAAAAUCCUGAGUUCAUAAGCCAGGUAAAGCAGUGGGAUUGCAAAAGUCUUACCACCACCUGACUCCGGCUUGAAGAGUAACCAUUUCAUGAGUACGUGUGAGCCUUAUUCAGUGUUCAACCUGUACGCUGAGGUGCAAACAAGAAACUCAGAUAGGAUGGCAUGGUUGAGAACUCUUGG